rnacentral:misc_RNA from 1 species
GCGGAAGUAAAAGUCCGUAACAAGGUUUCCGUAGGUGAAACCUGCGGAAGGAUCAUUAAUAAAUGGUCUACGUUUUUUUUAAGUAGACGCUUAAUAAUCCUACCCUUUGUGAAUUUGUUGUUUUGAAAUAAUUUUUUUUUUAAAAAUUAUUGAUUGUCUUUCCCUGUUGAAUUGGUUGUCUUAAUGGCAAAUGAUUCGCAGGGGAGUGUCAGUAAUUUUUAAAAAAGACCUUUUUUAAAAUUAAACUUUUUGUAUUCAUUUGUCUAAAAUUAUUUUUAUAAUAUUAAAAACAACUUUUGACAAUGGAUCUCUUGGUUCUCGCAACGAUGAAGAACGCAGCAAAAUGCGAUAAGUAGUGUGAAUUGCAGAAUACGUGAAUCAUCGAAUCUUCGAACGCAUAUUGCACUUUUUUAGUUUUACUAAAAAAAGUAUGUCUGUUUGAGUAUCAGUAAAAAUAUUCUCAUAAAAAAACAUUGUUUUUUAUGGUUAUGAGUGUUUUUACAACGAUACAAGUUGUUUCACUUUAAAUUUUUUUUUAAAAAUUUGAAUUUUUUCUAAUUUUAAAAUAAAAUUGGAUAAAAUUUUUCCCGUAAAAAGGAAUAACCUAAACAAUUUUUAAAUUUUUGAUUAGAAUUCUUCACAUUCUAAAGGAAAAUUUAACUAAAUAACUUGAUCUCAAAUCAGAUAAGAGUACCCGCUGAACUUAAGCAUAUCAAUAAGCGGAGGAAAAGAAAACUAACAAGGAUUCCCUUAGUAACGGCGAGUGAAGCGGGAAAGAGCUCAAAUUUGAAAUCUUCAAGGUUUUACCUUGACGAAUUGUAGUUUAAAGAAGUGUUUUUCCGUUGAAGUUUUGGUAAAAAGUUCUUUGGAAUAGGACAUCAUAGAGGGUGAGAAUCCCGUAUUUGACCAUUAUUUUUCAGCUGUGUGAUACACUUUCAAAGAGUCGGAUUGUUUGGGAAUGCAGUCCAAAAUGGGUGGUAAAUUUCAUCUAAAGCUAAAUAUUGGCGAGAGACCGAUAGCGAACAAGUACCGUGAGGGAAAGAUGAAAAGAACUUUGAAAAGAGAGUUAAACAGUACGUGGAAAUUGUCAAAAGGGAAGCGUUUGACACCAGUGUUGUUUUUCUCGAAAAUCAAUUAAAAAAAAGUUGGAUUUUGUGUUGUAUUGACCUUAACAGCUUGCUUCACUCUUUUCCUGCUUUUUUUAAUGCACUUUUCGUUUUAACAAGUCAACAUCAGUUUCUUUUUGUUGUAAAAGGGUCAUUGGAAGGUGGCUUUCUCUUCGGAGAAAGUGUUUAUAGCCUUUGAUCUCUGCAAUCGGAGAGACUGAGGUCUGCAGCGUAGAUCCUUCGGGGUUAGAUACAUUUGUGCUAAGCUGCAGCUUUUCAUAGACAACUUGUUGACUAUGUUUAGUCUUGUAACUUACCCGCUUAUGCUAUUUUUACCUACGCUUAGGAUGUUGAG